UUCAUCAACCAAUCAAAAUCAAACAACAGCAACAGGGUUUGAAUUUCAUGUUCAUCAAAAUCAACAUCAAUUCACAGCAUGGCUGGCAGCAUAACAGUAACGACAUGUUCAUGCAAAUACAACAGUGUUCAUGAUUAUCAUGCAUUCAGAAUUUUCACAAAAAUCCCAAAGACCAAAACAAAAUAUGUACCAAUGUUCAGCAUGGCAAAUGAAGUGAGAAAUCAUGCAACAUCC
rnacentral:lncRNA from 1 species